rnacentral:lncRNA from 1 species
UUGGGAGAAGCUGUGAGCUUGCAAUCAAUGCUUAGAGAGCUGCAUCUGACCCUCCCCUCCUUGACUAAUUGCUUCCAUAUGCUGACAUGGGGUGAUUUUGCUGGUCUGAGGAGUCAUAAAGGAGGGGGUGGAAGGUACAGCCCCUUUCCCCAGCCCAGCCGGAGCAGCUCUGGGACACUCAGCCUUCCUGCCAGGCAGGCUACACAGAGCCUUAAACUUGCAAAAGGGAUUUGUGAGCAGCCUGCUUGUCAAGAACAAAUACUAGUCAAAAGAAAUGUGUGACUUAUUGACCUUGGGUUCACUGAACCUUCAUCUUGAUGCUUCCGUACCACUAAGGAAUCGGCUUCUCUGAAAAUUAAAGUUCCCAGAUUAGAAUAGAAGCUUCAACAAAGGACCUGUGUGGCUUUGCAAAUACACAUCGAUUAGAGGACUUUGGAAGAGCUUUGUUAGAAAAGUGGAAUUAUGAAAAGCAAAUGUUUGAGAGAAGAUAAGAAGAAUAGUGAAUGGCCUCAGACAAGACACACAAUGAAGCUUCCAGCAAUGCUCCUGAAGUGCCUUGGGAGAGUUGAUGGUGGGCACACAGAGGAACCAGCUGCAGUUUGGGCUGCCUGUGGUACUCAGAACUGCACUGGCUCUGAAGCUUGUAACCAACCAGGCAGAGGUGAAAAAAGGUCAGGAAGAAUCUUGCUGUUCCCAGUGUCUGUCAAUUUGGUGCAGAACAACAGAUGUACCUUCCCUCUGGUGUGCUGGGUGACUCUUGUGCUUGGUGAUAUCCUGGGUGUCUGUGGGCAAACACACAAAUUAAAGAGAGGAGGAGGGAGCUGUGUGCCCUGCUUAAGCAGUGUCUGCCUGGCUCUGGGUAGGCUGUGGAGGAUGCAGGUAGGCAAGCAGAUACAGCUAUCUUCUGGGGGGCAAAUCUUUGUGUGA